rnacentral:rRNA from 1 species
UACGUAGGGCGCAAGCGUUAUCCGGAAUUAUUGGGCGUAAAGAGCUCGUAGGCGGUUUGUCGCGUCUGCUGUGAAAACCUAAGGCUCAACCUUGGGCUUGCAGUGGGUACGGGCAGACUAGAGUGCGGUAGGGGUGACUGGAAUUCCUGGUGUAGCGGUGGAAUGCGCAGAUAUCAGGAGGAACACCGAUGGCGAAGGCAGGUCUCUGGGCCACUACUGACGC